rnacentral:lncRNA from 1 species
AGAAUUCCCAACUCCCUGUUGCCUCUUCCUCAAGUCCCAGCGGCUCCAAAGAGGAAGCAAACCGACCUAACAGGAACGAGAACCAGUGGGAAGUACCAGUCAGCAAUUCUCUGUGCCUUUAGAAGUCAGCAAGUUUCACUCCAAAACGACACAAAAAGGGAACUGGCCCAGUCACUCCCAAGCCUCCUCUGUACAUAGCCUCCUUCUUGGCACGAUCCCAGAAACUCUCAGAGAAGCUCCAAGUGGAUGUGUAAAUCCUUUCUUGGACUAGUUUCCCUUCUGUUGAGGCAGAAAUACAAGGAAACCACUGUCUGUGGUGGCAUUUUGGCAGAACUCUCAAGUGUAGCCUGGAUCUGGGAACCCACAAUUCAAGAAUAAGGCACCAUUUACGUACAAAACUGUUGGAUUUGGAAGGAUACUUGGUUUGGUAUGUUCAUGAAGCCACUGACUUACAGGGUCAAAGAGCUUAUUUUUCAAAUUGGCACUGCUCUCAGCUUUGGUCAGAGAAGCUUCUCCUUUCAGUGAACAAUGGUUGACGUAGAGACUCAAAACUGGUUGAAGCGCUGAGAAAAACAAGAUUUUGGUGAAGCAGUCCCCGCUGCUUGUGGUAGAUAACAAUGAGGUCAGCCUCAGCUGCAGGUAUUCCUACAACCUUCUUGCAAAGGAGUUCCGGGCAUCCCUUUACAAGGGCGUGAACAGUGACGUGGAAGUCUGUGUCGGGAAUGGGAAUUU